AUACUGAGCAUGUCUUUUCUUCAGGCUGUUGAUGAAGCUGUCAGGAUGUGCAAAGCUGAAGAAUGCCUUCUAAAGCAGAUAUUCUGCCUGAAGAAAAACAAGAAAUUGAAUUGUUGGAGCAGGUUUUGAAAAGUAAACACUCUAAUGAGGGCAAAAAUAAAACACUCAUUGAUUAUACUUUUAAAGUGGAAGAAAAAGUCAAACUGGUGAAAUCUGAGGCGUGCAAAAAACCCAAUCAUCACAGACGGGCCGGAGGGAAUGUGACCCAUGGAGCCCCCUGGACUCGUCCGGUUCUGGUCCGGAAAGACUGGCGGCUCAUCCGGUGUUCAGUGGAAGGCCGUCAGUCACGAAGAGCACUUCAGCGAAGAUCUCUUCCACAGGAUCCCAGCAGAAGAUGUGUGUCAAAGCGUCUUCUGCAGAUAAUGCCCCAUCAGUCUCCUGCCAAGAAGUGUCUGCAUCUGGUAGAGAUGGGAAAGUCACAACAGGAAGUAGGCAGUCUAAAGAGCAAUGAUUGCAGAAGAAAGUGUUAACCCAGCGAUCAAAGCCAGUACCAGAGAGAACCCAAUUCACAGAGAGACUGCGAGACACUGUAUCCUUUUCAGAUCAGUCCUGUUGUAAUUUGAUCAGUAUCAACUCAGACAUUAUCAGUGUAUCCAUGCAAUCGUCAUUUCUCCUGUUGAUGUGUUUUAAUCCCGAUCUAGGGCUAAACUGCCCAUUAGCUCACCUUUCUCAUCAUGGUAGAUGGCCAGAAUUAAUUUUGAAUAGUUCACCCAAAAAUGAAGAUUUGCUGAAAAUGUACUCACCCUCAGGCCUUCCAAGAUGUAGAUGAGUUUGUUUCUUCAUCAGAUUUGGAGAAAUAUAGCAUUACAUCACUUGUUCAUCAAUGGAUCCUCUGCAGUGAAUGGGUGCCGUCAGAUUGAGAAUCCAAACAGCUGAUAAAAACAUCACAAUAAUCCACAAGUAAUCCACACCACUCCAGUCCAUCAAUUAAUGUCUUGUGAAGCAAAUACCUGCAUGUUUGUAAGAAAUAAAUCUAUCUUUAAAAUGUUUUAACUUUAAACU
ensembl:lncRNA